rnacentral:tRNA from 3 species
GCCCCCAUCGUCCAGCGGCCUAGGACACCGCCCUUUCAAGGCGGCAACACGGGUUCGAAUCCCGUUGGGGGUG